rnacentral:rRNA from 1 species
AGGACUAACGCUGGCGGCGUGCCUAACACAUGCAAGUCGAGCGGGGUAGCAAUACCCAGCGGCAGACGGGUGAGUAACGCGUGGUCAACCUUCCGUUGAAUGGGGGAUAACUAGCCGAAAGGUUAGCUAAUACCGCAUACGAUCUUUUGAAGGCAUCUUUAAAAGAUGAAAGGAGCAAUUCGUUCAACGACGGGACCGCGUCCCAUUAGCUAGAUGGUGGGGUAAUGGCCUACCAUGGCAACGAUGGGUAGCUGGUUUGAGAGAGCGACCAGCCACACUGGGACUGAGAAACGGCCCAGACUCCUACGGGAGGCAGCAGUGAGGAUUUUCCGCAAUGGGCGAAAGCCUGACGGAGCGACGCCGCGUGUGGGAAGAAGGCCUUCGGGUCGUAAACCACUGUCGAAGGGGACGAUAAUGACGGUACCCUUGGAGGAAGCCCCGGCUAACUACGUGCCAGCAGCCGC